CCUACGGGGUGCACCAGUGAGGAAUAUUGCACAAUGGGCGAAAGCCUGAUGCAGCGACGCCGCGUGAGGGAUGGCGGCCUUCGGGUUGUAAACCUCUUUCAGCACGAAAGAAGCGAAAGUGACGGUACGUGCAGAAGAAGCGCCGGCUAACUACGUGCCAGCAGCCGCGGUAAUACGUAGGGCGCAAGCGUUGUCCGGAAUUAUUGGGCGUAAAGAGCUCGUAGGCGGUUUGUCGCGUCUGCUGUGAAAGCCCGGGGCUUAACCCCGGGUGUGCAGUGGGUACGGGCAGACUUGAGUGCAGUAGGGGAGACUGGAAUUCCUGGUGUAGCGGUGAAAUGCGCAGAUAUCAGGAGGAACACCGAUGGCGAAGGCAGGUCUCUGGGCUGUUACUGACGCUGAAGAGCGAAAGCAUGGGGAGCGAACAGGAUUAGAUACCCUAGUAGUC
rnacentral:rRNA from 1 species